UUCCGGUUGAUCCUGCCGGACCCGACUGCUAUCAGAGUGAGAUUAAGCCAUGCGAGUUAACGUAGCAAUACGUGGCGCACGGCUCAGUAACACGUAGUCAACAUGCCCAGAGGACGUGGAUAACCUCGGGAAACUGAGUCUAAACCGCGAUAAGUGAGGAUUUCUGGAAUGGUUCCUGACUAAAAUCUAUAUGGCCUCUGGAUUGGACUGCGGCCGAUCAGGCUGUUGGUGAGGUAAUGGCCCACCAAACCUGUAACCGGUACGGGCUCUGAGAGGAGGAGCCCGGAGAUAGGCACUGAGACAAGGGCCCAGGCCCUAUGGGGCGCAGCAGGCGCGAAACCUCUGCAAUAGGCGAAAGCCUGACAGGGUUACUCUGAGUGACUUUCGCUAAGAAAGUCUUUUGGCACCUCUAAAAAGGGUGCAGAAUAAGGGGUGGGCAAGUCUGGUGUCAGCCGCCGCGGUAAUACCAGCACCCCGAGUGGUCGGGACGAUUAUUGGGCCUAAAGCAUCCGUAGCCGGUUCUGCAAGUCCCCCGUUAAAUCCAGCUGCUCAACAGAUGGGCCGCGGAGGAUACUACAGAGCUAGGAGGCAGGAGAGGCAAGCGGUACUCAGUGGGUAGGGGUAAAAUCCGUUGAUCCAUUGAAGACCACCAGUGGCGAAGGCGGCUUGCCAGAAUGCGCUCGACGGUGAGGGAUGAAAGCUGGGGGAGCAAACCGGAUUAGAUACCCGGGUAGUCCCAG
rnacentral:rRNA from 1 species